CGAGGCCACUCUGGAAAGCAGGCGCGCAAGUGCGCCUCACCCAAGGUGAAAGCCACCCUCAUCGGUGGUGAAACUCUCAGGUGCCAUGACAGAGGGGGAGUU
rnacentral:ncRNA from 2 species